GGAGAGGUGGCCGAGUGGUCGAAGGCAAUCGCUUGCUAAGCGAUCGUACGGGCAAAACCUGUACCGGGGGUUCGAAUCCCUUCCUCUCCGCCA
rnacentral:tRNA from 2 species